rnacentral:rRNA from 1 species
UACGUAGGGCGCAAGCGUUGUCCGGAAUUAUUGGGCGUAAAGAGCUCGUAGGCGGCUUGUCGCGUCUGUCGUGAAAGCUUGGGGCUUAACCCCAAGUCUGCGGUGGAUACGGGCAGACUAGAGGCAGGUAGGGGAGAACGGAAUUCCCGGCGUAGCGGUGAAAUGCGCAGAUAUCGGGAGGAACACCGGUGGCGAAGGCGGGUCUCUGGGCAGUAACUGACGCUGAGGAGCGAAAGCGUGGGGAGCGAACAGG